GAUGAAGAACGUAGCGAAAUGCGAUAAGUAAUGUGAAUUGCAGAAUUCAGUGAAUCAUCGAAUCUUUGAACGCACAUUGCGCCCCCUGGUAUUCCGGGGGGCAUGCCUGUUCGAGCGUCAUUUCACCACUCAAGCCUCGCUUGGUAUUGGGCAACGCGGUCCUCCGCGUGCCUCAAAUCGACCGGCUGGGUCUUCUGUCCCCUAAGCGUUGUGGAAACUUUCGCUAAAGGGUGUUCGGGAGGCUACGCCGUAAAACAACCCCAUUUCUAAGGUUUACCUCGGAUCAGGUAGGGAUACCCGCUGAACUUAAGCAUAUCAAUAAGCGGAGGA
rnacentral:misc_RNA from 1 species